GCUUUAUAAAAACAUUAUUAUUAUUAUCAUUAGCCAAACGUAUCUGAGUCAAAGAUGCCAUUAUUAGCCAAACGUAUCUGAUCAAAGAUGACAUCAUUAGCCAAACAUGACAUAUCUGAGCCAAACAUGACAUCAUUAGCCAAACAUAACAUAUCUGAGUCAAAGAUGACAUCAUUAGCCAAACAUGACAUAUCUGAGCCAAAGAUGACAUCAUUAGCCAAACGUAUCUGAGUCAAAGAUGACAUCAUUAGCCAAACAUGACAUAUCUGAGCCAAAGAUGACAUCAUUAGCCAAACGUAUCUGAGUCAAAGAUGACAUCAUUAGCCAAACAUGACAUAUCUGAGCCAAACAUGACAUCAUUAGCCAAACAUGACAUCAUUAGCCAAACAUGACAUAUCUGAGCCAAAGAUGACAUCAUUAGCCAA